rnacentral:rRNA from 1 species
GAUGAACGCUGGCGGCGUGCCUAAUACAUGCAAGUCGAGCGAACGGACGAGAAGCUUGCUUUUCUGAUGUUAGCGGCGGACGGGUGAGUAACACGUGGAUAACCUACCUAUAAGACUGGGAUAACUUCGGGAAACCGGAGCUAAUACCGGAUAAUAUUUUGAACCGCAUGGUUCAAAAGUGAAAGACGGUCUUGCUGUCACUUAUAGAUGGAUCCGCGCUGCAUUAGCUAGUUGGUAAGGUAACGGCUUACCAAGGCAACGAUGCAUAGCCGACCUGAGAGGGUGAUCGGCCACACUGGAACUGAGACACGGUCCAGACUCCUACGGGAGGCAGCAGUAGGGAAUCUUCCGCAAUGGGCGAAAGCCUGACGGAGCAACGCCGCGUGAGUGAUGAAGGUCUUCGGAUCGUAAAACUCUGUUAUUAGGGAAGAAUAUAUGUGUAAGUAACUGUGCACAUCUUGACGGUACCUAAUCAGAAAGCCACGGCUAACUACGUG